GACGAACGCUGGCGGCGUGCUUAACACAUGCAAGUCGAACGGAAAGGCCCUGCUUUUGUGGGGUGCUCGAGUGGCGAACGGGUGAGUAACACGUGAGUAACCUGCCCUUGACUUUGGGAUAACUUCAGGAAACUGGGGCUAAUACCGGAUAGGAGCUCCUGCUGCACGGUGGGGGUUGGAAAGUUUCGGCGGUUGGGGAUGGACUCGCGGCUUAUCAGCUUGUUGGUGGGGUAGUGGCUUACAAAGGCUUUGACGGGUAGCCGGCCUGAGAGGGUGAACGGCCACAUUGGGACUGAGAUACGGCCCAGACUCCUACGGGAGGCAGCAGUGGGGAAUAUUGCACAAUGGGCGGAAGCCUGAUGCAGCAACGCCGCGUGCGGGAUGACGGCCUUCGGGUUGUAAACCGCUUUCGCCUGUGACGAAGCGUGAGUGACGGUAAUGGGUAAAGAAGCACCGGCUAACUACGUG
rnacentral:rRNA from 1 species